AUUGAACGCUGGCGGCAGGCUUAACACAUGCAAGUCGAGCGAGCGGCGGACGGGUGAGUAAUGUCUGGGACACUGCCUGAUGGGGGGGGAUAACUACUGGAACCGGUAGCUAAUACCGCAUACCCUCAGAUGUGCCCCGAUGUGAUUGGCUCGUGGGGGGGGUAAAGGAUCAACUAGGCGACGAUCCCUAGCUGGUCUGAGAGGAUGACCAGCCAAACGGGAACUGAGACACGGUCCAGACUCCGACGGGAGGCAGCAGUGGGGAAUAUGGCACAAUGGGCGAAAGCCUGAUGCAGCCAUGCCGCGUGUGGGAAGAAGGCCUUCGGGUUGUAAAGCACGUUCAGCGAGGAGGCGUUACUCGCAGAAGAAGCACCGGCUAACUCCGUGCCAGCAGCCGCGGUAAUUC
rnacentral:rRNA from 1 species